rnacentral:lncRNA from 1 species
CUCCAUCUCUUCAUUCUUUCUGGAGUUAUUUCUCCACUGAUCUCCAGUAGCAUAUUGGGCACUUAAUGACCUGGGGAGUUCCCCUUUCAGUAUCCUGUCAUUUUGCCUUUUCAUACUGUUCAUGGGGUUCUCAAGGCAGGAAUACUGAAGUGGUUUGCCAUUCACUUCUCCAGUGGACACUUUCUUCAGACCUCUCCCCGAUGACCCGUCUGUCUUGGGUGGUCCCACAGGGCAUGGCUUAGUUUCAUUGAGUUAGACAAGGCUGUGGUCCAUGUGAUCAGAUUGGCUAGUUUUCUGUGAUUAUGGUUUCAGUGUGUCUGCCCUCUGAUGCCCUCUUGCAACACUUACCAUCUUACCUGGGUUUCUCUUACCUUGGACAUGGGGUAUUGCUUCACGGCUGCUGCAGCAAAGCGCAGCCGCUGCUCCUCAUAUUGGUAUGCAAAAAUGAGGUGAUUAGAUAUUCACAACUAACUAAUGGCCUAAAGAACAUGAUUUCUGGAAAAGAUUUAAGUCAAUGCAUUGAUACUUGUUCUCUCUUAUCCACUCAGCAUAUAUUUUCCUCUAUUAAUCAGUCAGUAUGUUAUUUUGGCUCUAGCCACAUGUGCCUCUGUUACAGAAAUCAGUAUUUUUCAGGGAAUGUAAAAAUAUCCACUAUAGAUAACCAGUUUUCUUUCUUUGCCUCAUACUUUGGGAAUCUAUUCAAGAAGAGACCUAGCCUUAUGUGGAUCUCCUUAUUUGCAAACUCAGCAAUCAAACCUGGGCAACUUGGGGAGACUCCAAAGUAUGGAAUUAAAUUUGCAAUGUAG